UGAGUAACACGUAUCCAACCUGCCGUCUACUCUUGGACAGCCUUCUGAAAGGAAGAUUAAUACAAGAUGGCAUCAUGAGUUCACAUGUUCACAUGAUUAAAGGAUUCCGGUAAAGGAUGGGGAUGCGUUCCAUUAGGUUGUUGUGAGGUAACGGCUCACCAAGCCUUCGAUGGAUAGGGGUUCUGAGAGGAAGGUCCCCCACAUUGGAACUGAGACACGGUCCAA
rnacentral:rRNA from 1 species